CGGGAUGGCCGCAGGUCGGUUCUCUCUGGGGUGGCUCCGAGGCCCCCUCAGUUCCAUGGCUGUGAACGCACUCGAGGGCGCGCCUCGCGUCCGCGACCAGCAUGAGAGGCGCGGCCCCCGAAGACUCUCCGUCGAAGGCAACAUCGCUGUGGGAAAGUCCACCUUUGUGAAGUUACUCAAGAAAACUUAUCCAGAGUGGCACGUGGCGGCAGAACCUGUAGCAGCAUGGCAGGAUAUCCAGGCUGCUGGCACCCAAAAAGCUGACACUACCCAGAGUCUUGGAAAUUUGCUGGACAUGAUGUACCGGGAACCAGCGAGAUGGUCCUACACGUUCCAGACAUUUUCCUUUCUGAGCCGCCUGAAAGUACAGCUGGAGCCCUUCCCUGAGAGACUCUUACAGGCAGAGAAGCCUGUACAGAUCCUUGAGAGGUCUGUAUAUAGUGACAGGUAUAUCUUUGCAAAGAAUCUCUUUGAAAAUGGUUCCCUCAGUGACAUCGAGUGGCACAUCUAUCAGGACUGGCACUCUUUUUUCCUGCAGGCGUUUGCCAGCCGGCUUUCAUUACAUGGCUUCAUCUACCUCCAGGCUUCUCCCCAGAUUUGUUUGAAGAGACUGUACCAGAGAGCCAGAGAGGAAGAGAAAGGCAUUGAGCUGGCCUAUCUGCAACAGCUACAUGGUCAGCACGAAGACUGGUUUAUUCACAAGACAACCAAGCUCCACUGCGAGACUCUGCAGCACACACCUGUGCUGGUGCUGGAUGUCAAUGGUGAUUUCUCUGAAGAAGACACCAAACAAGAGGAGCUCAUGAGAAAGGUGGACAAGAGUUUGGCUCUCCUGGUGCUUCAGUUGCUGUACCUGAGUCUUAGUUUCUGCUUCAGAGCGCUCUGUAUUGGGUUAACAGCUUUGUAAGGAACCUGUAACCAGUAAUUAAGCCACUCUAACUAUGGUCUGGGCUCUCUUAACUUUCUGAAGCUAGAAAACAUUGAUCUUCUACCUACUUUUGGCAGCCCCAUCCUCCCUGCCCCUCGAGCAUCCUGACACUCAGGUUGUUCAUUUAUCUGAGGCUGUAUCUGUUGAAGCCUGCUCUCAAUUCCCAAUAGACAACAAUUUUCACUUGAGAAGUUUUUAGCCUUUCUUUGCCAUCCAGACUCUUCUGUGCUGUCCUGCCCUGAAGUGCCAGGGGAACUUUCCCAGAGUUCAACCAAGUGAAGCCCCCUGAAUGAUGAGGGGAAGGAAAGCAGUGAGUGGGUGCCCACUGUGCACCCCAGAAUGAAGAAAUGGAGUCCAAGCUCCAGGCAGCCCCUUUAGCCCUUCCUACCUGUGGUUCCUGGUUCAGAAGAGUAGGGGUAAGGGAGUUAGUUCCCAGUCCUAGAACUGAAGAGCUGACCUAGGAGAGAGGGAGAGGACAUCAAGAGCUUCAAAACACAACAUCUGACAUUCAGCAUUUGGCCAUCCUGGUACUUUUCUUAACCUGAGAACCUUAACUAGUGAGUUUCAAACAACACUAAGAAGUGAAGCUCACAGCAGGAAAGAAGGAGUGUAACUUUGUGCUACUGCCUCAAGCUUUAAGGAUAACUUAUGGAAAGUAAAAUCCAUAGCUGCGUAGAAGUGAAAUGAUCCAUUGCAAGAAGCCAAGGGCCCAUGAUUCACCACAAGUGGAUUUCCUGCACCAGUCCCUUGGCAGUUUAACAGGUACACAGGGCACCGAAUGAACUGGGACUUAGAAUGUUCCAAGAGUCAGAAAUCUUUGUGACUGUCCUUUAUGCUUUGAGAAAAUAAGUGUGAGAUUAGUUAAAUAUAUGAGGUUUGCAGAAAAAUUCAGCAAUUUUUUUAAUCACACUUUUUUUUUUAUAUUUUAUUUAUUAUUUUUAUUUUAUGUGUAUGCAUGUAUUGCCUGCAUGUAGGUAAGGGCACCUGUGUCGUG